UUUGUAAUAAAAAUAAAUAAAUUUAUAAGAAACGUAAAAACCCAGAAUGUGGACUAAAUAGCUAUAUAGGAUUGUUAUUGUUUUCGUUAUCGGCUUGUUUAUUAAAUGUAUUAAAAGUUUAGAUUAUAGAUUUUCAUAAAGCCUGCAGUACAUGUACGGCCAGUAUGCCAACAACAUCGAUAACAAUCAUUUCAAAAUUUAAGAUUUAGUUUUUUAAUAUGAAACCUUUUGUAUGAAGUAUGCACCGCUUUAGUGGACGUAGAGAGUUCGUUUUCUAUGUUAAAUGUUAAAUAUUCUGUAGGACAAUAGAGUCAGUUUCUCUUUCUCUACUGUAAAUUUACUGAAAUACACGAUCAAAUCUUCACUCAAAAAAUUACAGAUCAUGAAAAAACAUCAAGGCAUAAAAAGAUAAAAAGUAAGAAUUUUGGAUGAUUGGACGUGAAGAACAUUCAUAGAAAUACUAAGCAAUAAUAUAAUUUCAUAGCUGCAGUGUCGUGGCAAAAGGAUAAUCUAUAGAGACGGCAGCUUCAAAGUUUUUUUUAUGAAUGAUGAGUUAUUGCUAACUAGAAAUUACCGUCAGUAUCUAUAGUCAAAGUCUCAAAAGUUCAAACAUAAGAGCAGAAAUUAACAAUGUAAGUAUAUUGUUCAACGAAUUAAAGAUAUCUACAACUCUAUCAAACAAAUAUAAUUGAAAAAAAAUUGUUUUGUAU